GCAGCAAAUCCAAACCUUGCAGUCUGAUAGAAAAUACAGGAUGGGAGACCCAGCCAGAAAAAUUGAGAUCUGAAGGCAGAGAUAAAGAGUAAAUGCUAAUUACAUCUGAGUUUGAGAAAUUGCAAUAAACCAGCUGCCAUGGGCCCAUAGGAGUAGGAGAAGAAAAUUCAAGCUCUUGGGAAUGACUUAGAGGUUAGCAAGGUGUGCCUGCGUGCUCUCUAACUCUUCUACCUUCUGCCGAGGGAUACUGUAGCAAGGAGACCCUCAGUGAAUGCUGAGUAGAUGGUGGUGCAUGCCUUUGGACUUUUCAGCCUCCAGAACUGAAUAAUGGGACAAAUAUCUAAUCAGUAUAUUAAGGCUUUUUGCAAACCUUGGUCUGGAAUGACCAACCUAAGCAGCCACAAGAAGCUUUAUCUACUGGAAAUAGAUGUUCUGGUACCUAGGCUGAAUUUGCUAAAUUCCACAUCUUAUUAGGAAUCUGCUUGAAAUUCUGUACUGUCCCAAUUUUAUCUUCAGAAUUGAAUUAAUUAGCUAAAAAA